rnacentral:rRNA from 1 species
AACACGUGGGAACGUGCCUUUAGGUUCGGAAUAGCUCCUGGAAACGGGUGGUAAUGCCGAAUGUGCCCUUCGGGGGAAAGAUUUAUCGCCUUUAGAGCGGCCCGCGUCUGAUUAGCUAGUUGGUGAGGUAACGGCUCACCAAGGCGACGAUCAGUAGCUGGUCUGAGAGGAUGACCAGCCACACUGGGACUGAGACACGGCCCAGACUCCUACGGGAGGCAGCAGUGGGGAAUCUUGCGCAAUGGGCGAAAGCCUGACGCAGCCAUGCCGCGUGAAUGAUGAAGGUCUUAGGAUUGUAAAAUUCUUUCACCGGGGACGAUAAUGACGGUACCCGGAGAAGAAGCCCCGGCUAACUUCGUGCCAGCAGCCGCGGUAAUACGAAGGGGGCUAGCGUUGCUCGGAAUUACUGGGCGUAAAGGGCGCGUAGGCGGAUCGUUAAGUCAGAGGUGAAAUCCCAGGGCUCAACCCUGGAACUGCCUUUGAUACUGGCGAUCUUGAGUAUGAGAGAGGUAUGUGGAACUCCGAGUGUAGAGGUGAAAUUCGUAGAUAUUCGGAAG